rnacentral:sRNA from 1 species
AUAACAACAAUAACAAGCAGUCCUCAACAAGAAUAAGACGUAACGGCUCUAGCAGAACAACAACAAGAAGGCAGAGACGCAGCUAACUGAUUCUUUUGGAGUCGACUUGCCGGCGGGGCUUGCCCCACGACCAGACCGAGAACAAUAAAACUGCCCUGAGGCAGCGCCCGAACUGGUUGGAUGACGGCAAUAUCAGCGACCAAAGCAAUCCGUUUGCUAUUGGCUCCCGGAUGGGAGCUCCCGGUGACGCACCGGGACGGACGACCAACAAAAACAACACGUCCGUAACCAAUAAUAAAAAAGCACGACCACAUUAGGGGGGAGCUUCGGCUCCCCCCAGUGCUUUGCGCCCUCC